ensembl:lncRNA
GUGCUGGUUACAGUAGCUAAGAGGAUGGAACCGCAGGCCAAUUUGUCACACAAACAAAUUUAAAUGUGGACCGAGGGGUUUGCCCACCUUAUGAUGAGUGGUUGAUUUGUGGCCAAAAACACAAAACAAAAACAAAAACAAGAGGUGGGGUUGAUGAGGUCUGGGGAACAAGAGUUGCAGUUUCGAAACAGAGUGGAGGCUCCUUUAAUCUUGACAGCCAGAAUGCUACAGGGGUCACAGCACAUCUGCUCCGGAGGAAAGACAAAGGGCAAGAACAUCUCAGGAUGGGGCAAUAUUUUGUGAGAACAUAUUGGAUUCUACCAAAUUACAAAUAUGUUCCAGUGCUGGGCUGGAGAAGGCAGGGGCCUUGGCUCUUCCACGGUGGCUGUUCAUCAGCACUCAUACAUCCACUAUACGGGUUUAGUCGCACACUGGAAGGCUGCUUUCUCCUGCUGCUUACAAAACAAACUAACAAAUAAACAACAACAACAAAAACAUAACAAAACAAAAAACCUCAAAACUAAACCAAAAACAACGAAUGCCAAACAAUACUCAAAGAACUAUCAAAUUAUUCCCUGGGCCCCUGAAUCAGAUGGAGCUGAAUCAUUCUGGCUGCUGAGUGAAGGGUGUUGGAAAAAGUGCCAUUGUGUAAGUUAAGGAAAGGGUCAGAGAACCGAAAAGACUGCAGCUGUAUGAAAGGGCUUCUGUGCUGGGAUUCUCCUUGUAAGCUAUCCAAAGGCACAAAUCAAGAACCGCAACCUUGGAGAUAUGACAAAUGAACACAAUUCUGGUUUUUGGUUUUAUUUUAAAGUGAAAUUCCACUGUUUCCCAAGAAUUUGCACUUGAAGCUUUACAUAUUUUUCAUGUCAGCUCCCUUCCUUGCCACCUUUGUUUUCCAGCCUGCCUCCCCUUAACAGCUGGACACAUCACCGUUCCAUUUUUCUAUUGGUUGUGACUGAAGUAGCUUGAGGUCAAUUAUUUCCCCAGCAAUUGACAAAGAAUCUUGAUGAAGAGGAAAGUGACAUUGUCCCUUGAACAACACUGCUCCCUCCUCCCCCUGCCCUCCUGGCUGAGAGGAGAGAGCAGGGCGGACUUUCCUUUUGCAAGGAGCCCAGCAGGGCGGUGGCGGUGGGGUCUGUGGAAGUGCGUGGGUAACAUAUGGUAAGUGGAGAAAAUAUUUAUAUUCAUGGUGAAAGAGCAGGAGAAGAUCCAAAGAAGGUCAUUCCGCAGAGAUUUCAAGCAAGAGACACUGACUUGAUAUUGUGUCUUUGACCUGGAUACAACAGAGAAUUUAAAGAAAGAGUUUUCUUUUGUUGCUUUCCUGCCACCGUUACUCCCAACAAUCCGAAUUAUUGGCAAUUUAAAAAAGAAAAGAUUCCUCCCACUAAACUUGAUAAAAGUAUCACACUGGCCCUUGCCCGGCCCGGGCCAGGCUGCCACGCCUUCUCCCCUCCCGCUGCGCCUGGCCCCCCAAAUCCAGAAUGCGGAGCCUGUGUCUGAGCCUGUGUCUUGGGCCUGCGGGCGGUGUUUGUUGUGACUGGGCGGCUAGGUGAGACGGAGCGCACGGGCAGAGUGGGCAUUUGGGACGACUGGUUCUUGGGGGAGGAUAUAAAUAAUGAAUCGGUGUUAGAUUACUUUCUGAUGAGACACAUGAAACCUCCAGUGCUUUCAGCAGGCAUUUUGCAUCACAGCUUCCUAAGAAACGUAAAAGGCCCUCUUUCGGCCCCCCAGUGGCAAACUUCGUAACUAUCGCUCAGUUCAAAUGCGUGCGGGGCUGCGGGACAGAGGCGUCCUCGCCUACCCUCGGACCGACCCACAAGCGGUGGGGCGGACAGACACGUGCGCGUCUGGUCGCCCGGACAAGCAUCUGCUUGCGUCCCCUCUCUCGCGCACGGUGGCAGCCCCGCACCAAGACCCGCUGAGGAAACGAAGGGUAGGGUCUUUUCCCAUCUUGCCGUCGAAAGUUUACCCCCUUUCCCGGGUGUGCAGGAAGAGAUGCGCGAGGGUAGGAAGGUGCGAAACUGGGGUUCUGCCAGAGACCCACCGCGGCUCUAUAUUCACUCUCGUUUGAAAACUGCCAGCGUUCCACUCCCUCUGGAUUCCAGUUCCCGAGGGGGAGGUAGUGAGAUGGGAUACAGGUGCGUCUGCUUCCUCCCUUGGGAGGAGUUCUCCCACUUUGAAACCCCUCGCGGAGCAGCCCAUAACCGAGUGGCCUGCUGCACAGAGGCCAUGCUUAAUGGAUUCUUGCAGAUAAAAGGGCCUGGCUACCUUUCUUUCCUAUAAUGGCCCCUGAGGCUAACGUCUUAAAGAGGAAACAAAGGGAUUGUUUUACAGCACACAAGGGGGGUGGGGGGAGGAACAGGGAGAGGAGGAGGAGGAAGGGGCACUGGAUACGCGGAGGGAGGGGAGUGGCCCCCCGCUUCUUAACCCUUCACCUCCUGCGACCGCCCAGGUCUCCCGAGCUCCGCACCCUCAUCCAGGACCCGAAACAGCGGGGAGGAGGCGACAGUGCCUGGAGGGCCCCGCCGUGUGACUCGACCUCCAACUCCUCGCCUCCUUCCUCGUCUUUUUAAAGAACUUCUGAAAGGGAGAAUGGAAAAGAUCAAGGGACCCAUGUCUCGAGCUGCAGUUUGAAAGUCAGUCCUAGAGGGGUCGUCUCUCGCGAGGCCCGGGUGCCCACACAGGAUCGACGACUGGCAGUGCCACCUGGGCCCGGACUCUGGGACUGCGGGAGGCGGGCGCGCCUGGGGCCAGGACCCAGGCGUGCGCUGAGGGCACCCGGUGAAGGCCGGGGAAAGUGGGGCAGCUCUGAAAUGCGGCCUGCACGUCGCCCUGGGAGUCGUUCCCGGGCCCCUUUGCAGACACAGCCUUCAGGUGUGAGUCGAGUGUGCGCCGGCCAGGGGCGUCUCUUACAGGAAGUUUAUAUUUGCCAACUGGGCUGGUGUCGGGGGCGGGGUAGGGGGUGGGCGGCGGGAGAGAGACGCAGUGGCUUCUGCUUUCUGGCUUUUCUGUUCUGGCUCCAGGAAAAGAUCAAAACAAUAGUUAAAUAGCAAUUGAAGACAAGUGAUGUAAGAAAUAAACAACUCGACAACAAAAAUGCCCA